rnacentral:misc_RNA from 1 species
AAAGUCGUAACAAGGUUUCCGUAGGUGAACCUGCGGAAGGAUCAUUACCAUGAAGCGGCUUGGGACACCCAAGUUCGCCAACCCUUUGUAUACCUCCCUGUUGCUUCGGCGGGACGUUCAUGACCCAUCCGUCGUGACCACCGGUCUCUCGGUGUGCGCCCCCGUCAGAGGACCCAAACACUACGUCUUUUGGUGACGUCCGAGCAAAUCGAGAAAUCAAACAAAACUUUCAACAACGGAUCUCUUGGUUCCG